rnacentral:rRNA from 1 species
CCUACGGGUGGCAGCAGUGGGGAAUAUUGGACAAUGGGCGAAAGCCUGAUCCAGCCAUGCCGCGUGUGUGAAGAAGGCCUUCGGGUUGUAAAGCACUUUCAGUGGGGAAGAAAGCCUUGGGGCUAAUACCCUCGAGGAAGGACAUCACCCACAGAAGAAGCACCGGCUAACUCCGUGCCAGCAGCCGCGGUAAUACGGAGGGUGCGAGCGUUAAUCGGAAUUACUGGGCGUAAAGCGCGCGUAGGCGGUCUGAUAAGCCGGUUGUGAAAGCCCCGGGCUCAACCUGGGAACGGCAUCCGGAACUGUCAGGCUAGAGUGCAGGAGAGGAAGGUAGAAUUCCCGGUGUAGCGGUGAAAUGCGUAGAGAUCGGGAGGAAUACCAGUGGCGAAGGCGGCCUUCUGGACUGACACUGACGCUGAGGUGCGAAAGCGUGGGUAGCAAACAGGAUUAGAGACCCUGGUAGUC